CCUACGGGUGGCAGCAGUGAGGAAUAUUGGUCAAUGGACGAGAGUCUGAACCAGCCAAGUAGCGUGAAGGAUGACUGCCCUAUGGGUUGUAAACUUCUUUUAUAUGGGAAUAAAAUGUUCCACGUGUGGGCUUUUGUAUGUACCAUAUGAAUAAGGAUCGGCUAACUCCGUGCCAGCAGCCGCGGUAAUACGGAGGAUCCGAGCGUUAUGCGGAUUUAUUGGGUUUAAAGGGAGCGUAGAUGGGUUGUUAAGUCAGUUGUGAAAGUUUGGGGCUCAACCGUAAAAUUGCAAUUGAUACUGGCAGCCUUGAGUACAGUUGAGGUAGGCGGAAUUCGUGGUGUAGCGGUGAAAUGCGUAGAUAUCACGAAGAACUCCGAUUGCGAAGGCAGCUUACUAAACUGCCACUGACAUUGAUGCUCGAAAGUGUGGGUAUCAAACAGGAUUAGAUACCCGUGUAGUC
rnacentral:rRNA from 1 species